CUCAUUUGGUAACUCGACUGGAGCGGGGGAGUCAUUCCUGAAGAGUCCACAUUUGCGGGCCCCAAUUCCGACUCCAUAAGUGGUUUCCAAAGACAAACAGAAACCGGAGAGCCCAGCUUCUUUUUCCUGGAUUCCCCGUUUUAGUGAAUCCUGGGAAGGGAGAGACCUGAAGUUCUUAAGACACAACCUUACAGAUUGAUGUGAGAAUCAAAUGAUUUAAUAGGAUGCUGUUUGAUAAAGAGUUCAUUGACCAUGAUGGACAGAGAGGCUGUAUAAAGAGAAAAAAGCCAGUCACACCUCACAUUUCAGCCACUCCCACUGGAGCUCCAGACAUGUGAAUGAAGCCACCUCAGACUCUCCAGCACAGGCAAAAGAACCAAUAUGAACCCAAAGCAAUGAGAAAGGAAGGCAGGAAAGGGGAAGUAAGGGAGAGUUACUUGUUGCCCUGGAGGCUUGGAGAAAAGGUGCUUAAUGGUCAAUUUAUUUUUCUCCAUUUAUUCAGUCAAUAAACGUUACUACAAAAAUUUUAA